CUGGAAUGAUUGAGCAGAGAGAUUUUCCAGUCUACUUCUUGUUUAUUACUGUUGUAGUAGUAUUUCGAGUUGAAAUGUUUAGAGGUAUUUAUUAUAUUUUUGUGCAUAGCGGCCUUGAAUCGAGAUAUUGCCCCAAUAACCAGCAGGUUCUGCAGUUAUUAUAGUUUUAGACACAAAACUUGUGAUUACGUAUUUUCAUGACCUAAGCACCACCUUAAAAGGGUUUGACCUUGCGACCGGCCAAUAGCAAUUGGUACCAAAGGUUGCUUAUACAAAACGAGUUAGUUAUCCUGCUUAUUUGUAUAAUUAUUAAUGUCAUAGCAGAAGCAUAAAUUGUAAAUGUAUUAGUUAACUUGUAGUUAAUGGUCACUUCUAAAAAUGUACUAUGGUUUGACUUUCAAAUAUCUUAUCACCUUAGAAGCAUCGAUAUUAGAGCCAAGAUUUUGAAUGUCGUAUCAGCUGUGGUACUGCUUGUCUUACUGGUAUGGUACCUACGGGUGCCGAACUAUAUUUCGCUACCAUAUCAUAUUUAUAGUUGUCAAUAUCAUAUUGUAAUGUUAUUCAAAUGGUAGAAUUUUAUGGCUAAAUUUACUUCACCUACUAUGAAUAUGCACUUUGUAUAUACAAAAUAAUUCUAGAACAGUUCUAUUUUAGAAAUCCCACACUUAUUAGCUCGCCACUUGUAGAGAAAAUAUCCAAUGUGUCCGUACUUGAAAAAAACAAUUAAAAAACACAAGAGGUCACCAAGUGGACCCCGCCUAAUGAUGAAACAUACUGUCUUGUCCUAUCAUGGAUAACACAGAAUGGCUAAAAAGGUGAGUUUUCUUCUUUUCUUUCGUACUUCACUUCUGGUGCCGGUAUUGCAGCAGAAGAUACGACAGAAAACUUCCCGGUAGGGAGAAAUAAACCAAGAAUGGCUAGAAAUUUAAUUGGAACGAAAUAGGGGUCUAACAGUACCGGUUUUACGAUCGAACAAGAUGUAUUGGCUGGACCGGUCUAGUACGGAAUGGUAUCUACAACCUUGAUAAGAGCAAUAGUGUAGUCUGGUUUCGAGAAUGUAUCUUGACAUACAUAGACAUCGUUCCAAGCAAAGUUAUCAAUCUUGUACUGGCCAGCGUACUGUUUUCUCUACCGGAACGGUACAUACCGAUACCGGUGUAUAUCUCGGUUCCAUUUCAGAUUUACCGCGAUAUAUUUGUUUAUAUACUUCUAAUCUAGUACUAUUAAUAUAUUUAUGUAUUACAUGUACAAGUAACAUGCAUACAUAUGAAACUAAAUUAAUUAUGUGGAGCAUAAUAAAAUGUUAUUAAAUGAAAAAUAUUCGACAAAAUAUUAGUAUUUAGAAUAACAAUAUUCAAACAAAUUAUUCCAUAGAAACAAUAAAUGUUGUUUGGGGUUCUUAUGCAAUAAAGUAGAAAUUGUAGUUGUACUGUGCAAUCCCAGACAAAUUCUUAUGUUUCCAAAGCUCUGACAAGAGGGCUUUUGUUCUCCUUUUUCCUACCGUUAGAUUAGGUUCAAGGGCCAGGAUUUCAUCUCCAUGUUUCCUACCAUUACUAGGGGCUGUAGUAACCACAAAAGUCGAUUUCCUUCGCUGUUCCGAAUUCUGAUCUGCUGCAACUUCCUCCAUUAAAGAGAGGCUGACCCAGAUCAAAGAAAGCUCGACGUUAUUUUUGUAUUGCCGGAACUACGGAACAAGACCGAAAUACACCGGUAUCACCCGGAAUAGCCGGAACAGUCCGAAAAAUGUCGGAAUUUUUCCUGGGACGGAAUAGAGUGUCCACUAUCUCGUUUUCUUUUUGGAACGGGAUGUACCGACCGGUAUAGUACGGAAUCAAUAACUCUGGUUCCAAGUACACUAAGGGACCGUUUUAUAGACAUUAAAUAUGUUUGUUGAAACUAUUUCCUAAAUUCUGGUGUUUCGUUGUGCAUAAUUUGCGGUAAAUAGUUUUUGAAUUAAAUAUUUUACAAAUGCCCAAAACAACUUACUACGGAAAAUGUGGCAAGUCAUUUUUACGACUUUGAUUGUGUCACAUGCCAACAUCGGCUCGUAGGUUAUUUUUUAGAAAGUAAAUGUUUACAUAGGAAUUUUUUUUUGUGUAAUGUUUUUCCAGUAAAAUGGUUUUAUUUCUAGCAUUUUCUAAUGUUUGGUGGCUACCAAGUAUUAUUUUUAAAUGUAAGAAUAAUAUAAUAUGCAGAUCACCUAAAUAUCUAUUUAUUAAUCACAAUAACAUCGAAGCUUUAGUACACCCAAAUUGGUUAGGCAUUUCAUCACAAAACCUGUAGGGAUACAUAUUUAUCUGAAAGUACAUCAUGUAGAGAGCAAAAGCACAGGACUAUAGGAUUCGUUUAGCAACUUGGAUUAUAGAGACAUUGACUGGUAAGAUUAGGGAGCUAGUUGACACCAUGCUUAGGUGGAGGAUUAGUAUAGCUUGCCUUCAAGAGACUAAGUGAGUAGGGGAGAAAGCUAGGGAGAUAGAGGACACAGGUUAUAAGCUGUACUAUGCGGGUAAGGAUAGACAUAGAAAUGGGGUAGGUGUCGUAGUAGAUAAACAUCUGAAAGAUUCGUGCUUUGUUUGGAUUGCUUUUUGAAAAAAAAUUCUCAACUUAAAAAAUACUCAUUACCCCUACUUCUAAUCAUUACUCACCCCCAUCUCCAAUCAUUAUUCUAAUUUCUCUCUCUAUCUCUCUCUAAUCAUUACCUCUACUUUCAAUCAUUACUUUCAUUUCUCUCUCCACUCAUAACCCUACAAAAUUUCUCAAAAACUCAUCCAAACACAGCAUCGGUAGUUACAAUCACGAGGAAAGGAGAUCGGAUUAUUUUAGUUAAGCUUGUGAUCGGAGGGAGCAUAGUUAAUAUUAUUAGUGCUUACGCACCCCUAGUAGGCUUGGAUGAUCUUACUAAACAACAAUUCUGGGAGCAGAUGGAUGACGUGAUUCAAGAGAUACCUUUUGGGGAGAAGGUAUUUAUAAUAGGUGAUUUCAAUGGUCAUGUGGGAGUGCAUAAGUAAGGGUAUGAAAAGGUGCAUGGUGGCUUUGGAUUUGGUGACCUUAACGAAGGUGGUUGGAGGAUUUUAGAUUUCGCAGUAGCUUUUGACUUUAUAGUGGGGAAUACUCUCUAUAGGAAGCGAGAAGAGCAUUUAAUUACCUUUAAGAGCAGAGCCAAUAGAAGCCAAAUUGACUAUUUGCUUGCUAGAAGCGCAGACCGCUUGACAUGUAAGGAUUGUAAGGUUAUUCCCGGAGAGUGUCUAGUGGCACAACAUAGACUGUUUGUGUUGGAUAUUCGUCUCAAGGGGAAUAAUAGAAGGAGAAAGGAAACUAGAUGCCCACGUACUAAAUGGUGGGGCCUAAGAUGGGAGAAACUAGAGGUAUUCAAGGAAAGAAUGUCUCAAGAAGUACGGUGGGGAAUGGAAGGUGAUAGUGACAAUAUGUGGAAUACCAUAGUUGACGGUAUUAGAAGAAUAUCGAAAGAGGUUCUUGGGGAGUCAAAAGGAAAAGGUCCAAUUUCUAAGGAGACAUGGUGGUGGAAUGACGAGGUUCAAACCAUGGUAAAAGCCAAGAAUGAGUGCUUCAAAAAGUGGCAAAAGGACUGCAAUGAGGAAAAUUUUCAGGGUUAUAAACAAGCUAGCAAGGAAGCUAAGAAAGCCGUUAGAGAUGCCAAGUUGAAAGCCUAUGAGAAUUUCUACUUUAGUCUUGAUAGUAAAGAUGGAGAAAAGAUUAUUUAUAAACUUGCCAAGCUACGAGAAAGGAAAGCUAGAGCCGUUUCUCAAGUUAAGUGUAAAAAAGGUAUUGAUUCGGUGGUGUUGGUGAAAGACGAGGAGAUCAAGGAUAGAUGGAAGUGUAUUUCGAGAAGUUGUUAAACUAGAAACAUGAAUAAGGCUUUGGUGGGGAGGAAGUGUGUAUCUGACGAGAACAUAGAAUAUGAGUUUUAUCGGAGAAUACAAAAGUUUGAAGUGGUUAAAGUUUUGAAAAGGAUGAAACCGGGUAAGGCCGUCACUACCAUUAGAUCGCCAGUAGGGGAAACGAGUGAAUUUUCAAUCACUGUAGGAUUGCAUCAAGGGUCAGUCUUGAGCCCGUACCUCUUUGCCUUAGUUAUGGAUGAAUUGACUUGACAAUUUCAGGAGGAUUUCCCAUGGUGUAUGAUGUUUGCAAAUGACAAUGUUCUCGUAGAUGAAACUGUUAGAGGUGUUAAUACGAAACUAGAAAUUUGGAGGGAAGUAUUAGAGUCAAAGGGUUUUCGAAUAAGUAGGAGUAAAAUUGAGUAUAUGGUGUGCAAGUUUAGUGGUACCAGCAGUGCGCAUGAAGAAAGAGUGAUGAUCCAAGACCAGGAGAUACCAAAGAGUGAUCAUUUUAGGUACUUAGGCUCAAUUAUUAAUAGAGAUGGAGAGAUUGCCGAUGAUGUGACCCAUAGGAUCCAAGUGGGUAGCUCAAGUGGAGGAGUGCUACUGGUGUACUAGGUGACAAGAGGGUACUCACAAAAUUGAAGAGAAAAUUCUAUAGAACUGCCAUCAGACCAACGAUGCUUAACGGGACAGAAUGUUGGCCUAUUAAAAAACAACAGGUGAGCAAGAUGAGUGUAGAGGAAAUGAGAAUGUUGAGGUGGAUGUGUGGUAAGACUAGACGAAACAGGAUUAGAAAUGAAACGGUUCAUGAGAUGGUAGGAGUGGCACUUAUAGAGGAGAAGUUGAGGGAGAAUAGGCUAAGGUGGUUUGAGCAUGUCUACCAUAGACCGGGAAAUGCAGUAGUUAAGAGAGCGGAUAUGAUAUCUUUGGGUAGCAAUGCUACGAGGAGGGGUAAACCUAAAUUGACAUUAGAUGCUGUUGUGCGCAAAGAUAUGAGUAUAAUGGGUUUGUGUGAACAAGUGGCCCUUGACAGAGCUCACUGAAGGAAAAUGAUUCAUGUAGCCGACUCCAAGUGACUGGGACAUAAGGCUCGGUUUGGUUUGAUUUGACAAUAGUUAUUCCCGAUAUGGUCACAGAUGAUGGAAAAUAAUCACCAACCCACGGUUCUAAAUGUAGUACCGCUAUUUCUGUUAUUUAGCUAUGCAUCAUUUGAUAUCAGUCAACAAAUAGCCGCAACACCAAUAUUGGUAAUUAUCCCAAUACUGCGAUUUAGAAACCUUGAAUCAACCUCUUCGACUUGGUCAAUGGCAAAGGUACAUUGGCUUGUGUCGAUCCUUUAAGUGCAAACUGUUGUUCUCUACUUGUGGUGAACUUAAAACUCGAGUUUGUAGUAAAAACAACUUACCGGAUCGCCAUGGUAAGUUGAGUUAGAUUUCAAGUUGUAAAUUUUUACUCCGAAAAUUGUUUACUGCAAAUUAUGCGCAUAAGAACCCUUACAACUAGGAAAAUCCUUUUUGCAAAAAUAAUUACUUCAUACGAACCAGAGAAAGAGUGCAACAGUUUGCACUUGAAGAUUCAACACCAGUCACCAGCCAUAGUUCUCGUGCCAUUGAACCUAUUAAAGCAUCCAACUCAAUACCAAUUGCCAAUGAGUGGAGAGGCUGCUUAGACUCAUAUACUAGUUUUGGAGGAGAUAAUUAACCAAUGUAGGACAAUUUCCAACGCUCUCCUUCACAUGCAACCCCCCCACUCGCACGUGGAGAGAUCAACAAAGGAUUCGGAAUACACGGAUCACAACGAAACAAAGUGCAACUAUGACACAAACAAAGGGGAAAAGCCUCCUAAAAUCUAGCUCUGAUACCAUGUUUAAGCAUCGAACUCAAUACCAAUUGGCAAUGAGUGGAGAGGUUGCCCAGGCUCAUAUACUAGGUUUGGAGGAGAUAAUUAACCGACGUGGGAAAAUUUCCAACAGAACAAGUUAAUGAGGUUGAUGAUUUCUCUCUAACACCAGUAACCAUGUCAGCAAUAACCAUGCAAUGUCAACGACGGUGAAAUAGGUACAUACAGUACAAAAUAGAUAUAGCAAUUGUGCAUCCAUUUCUAUUUGCCCUUUUUUUUUUCCAUGUGAUGAUGUACUUUCAGUCAAAGACCACAUAGAUUUUCUGAUGAGAUGCCUAAUCCAUUUGGGUAAACUAAAUCCAUGGGAUGAUUGUGGUUUAAUUGGCUUGCGUUAAGUUGGGUAACCAAUUCAUCCAUCCAAAAAUAUUAGUUUCUGCAUAAUGUUUCGAAUUAGCAACCAAAACCAAAACCAAAACCAAAACCAAAAAUUAAAUAAUACUAUAAUUUUUGCAAAAACAGAUUUUCAUGUAUUUUUCUAGGUUAGGUUGGCAUAAACGGAGCCUAAAAAAGUUUCCGUUCAUAUAUUGUAAGCAUCCAACUCAAAACCAAUUGAUAAUGAGUGGAGAGGCCGCCCAGGCUCAUAAAACUAGUUUUGGAUGAGAUAAUUAACCGAUUUGGGACAAUUUCCAACACUCCCCCUCACGUGCAACCCCCGACUUGCACGUGGAGAGGUCAACAAAAGAUCCGGAACACAUGGAUCACAACGAAACAAAGUGCAACUAUGGCAUA